UACGAACGGGGCUAGCGUUGUUCGGAAUCACUGGGCGUAAAGCGCACGCAGGCGGAUCGAUAAGUCGGGGGUGAAAGCCCGGGGCUCAACCUCGGAAUUGCCUUCGAUACUGUCGGUCUCGAGUCCGGGAGAGGUGAGCGGAAUUCCUAGUGUAGAGGUGAAAUUCGUAGAUAUUAGGAAGAACACCAGUGGCGAAGGAGGCUCACUGGCCCGGUAAUGACGCUCAGGUGCGAAAGCGUGGGGAGCAAACAGG
rnacentral:rRNA from 1 species